GAAGUUAAAUUUGAGAUAUUAAAAAACGAAGAAAUACUGCUUACUACACAGUUGGACUCUCUUAAAAGACUUAUAAAAGAAAAACAGGAUGAAGUUGUCUAUUACGAUCCAUGUGAAAGUCCAGAGGAACUUAGUCAUUGACUGUGGUGGGGCUGCAGGACGAUAAGAAUUCGGAAGUGAAAGAACUCAGAAGGCAGUGCCAGCAGCUGGAGUCUGUUAAACGGGGCAGUCUGUGUCAAAAGAGCUUCUCUCCAGAGUAGAAAGAUGACAUGGCAUAAUUAGGCAAACGGCUAGGCAUUUUCUCAGCAGUAAAUUACCAGUGCCCUUACUUGCCAUGAUACCCACAACAGGCAGAGGCAGUUUCCUGAGGCAAUCCAGGCCACAAAGAACUGUACAUUUGGGGAAAACAUAUCUUCAAAUAUAUAUGUUAAACUCUAAAAAAUUGGUUAGUAUGUAUUACUUUUGUGGAUACUUAAACAUUCCCUAUGCAUAAAGACCUAGUUAAAGAGAUGCAGGCUUUUGGCAUGUUAAAUAACUCCUUGAUGAGAAAUCACACUAUGAAUAAUAAAUAUGACUUAAUAAAAAUGAAAAAUAAUGAGAUUAGUUACUAUUGAACUAUUCUUGCUUA
ensembl:lncRNA novel transcript